GGAUGGCUUUAUAAGAGGUGGGCAGAAUGAUCCAGCAGGCUUGAUUUAUUUCCUAUAUCUUUUGCCUCCAUCCUAUUCCUCCCUGUUAGGCAAAAUUGAGACUAAGGAGGAAGCCAGGAAGCCUCUUUGGACUGGCUGUGAGUAAGAAGGGUCCGCUGGUGAGGGGCAGGCUGCAGUUGGUGGAGCAGGACCCCAUGAGCCUGAAAGGACCAUCUUCCUCUGUGCCAGCCAUUUUUCCCCAUUUAAAAUUGCCCUCUCUGUGGGCAACUGCAGGUGGAAAAGCACCCUUGGGGAGGGCAGUUGUUACCAGAGAAGGGAAAAACUUAAGCACCCACCCCAGUAAAAUGUAUCACCUUCUGCGUCUGUUUUUCAUUUUGUUUUUUUAAGUAUUUCAUGAAACAUGAAAUAUACAACUCUGCACUAGAAUACUGAAAGGUGGACCAAGCGAUAAAUAAAACAAAGCUGUGAAGUCAUUUCUGAACUUUUGGCUCAUCUUUUGGGAUAUACAGUGUAUACCCCAAAACAGGUUAGAAAAAUACAUAAUCAUGCACACAUCAGGUGGAGAUGUGUGGUAAAAAUCACUGAGAUUUCCUGCAUCUGUCAAUAUGUUUGUAAUAUGGUGUGCUUUAAUAUACAUACUGUGGUAAAACAUCCCAGUUGUUGUUGCUUUUAUUUAAGUAACAGGCCUCUUCUGUCAACCUGAGAGGAGAAUUUUACCACACAUUCCUCAGAUGAAGGUGUGUGGUAAAAAAAAAAUCACUAAUAAUAUUA